rnacentral:misc_RNA from 1 species
GAUGAAGAACGUAGCGAAAUGCGAUAACUAAUGUGAAUUGCAGAAUUCAGUGAAUCAUCGACUCUUUGAACGCACAUUGCGCCCCCUGGUAUUCCGGGGGGCAUGCCUGUCCGAGCGUCAUUGCUGCCCUCAAGCACGGCUUGUGUGUUGGGCUCCGUCCCCCCGGGGACGGGCCCGAAAGGCAGCGGCGGCACCGAGUCCGGUCCUCGAGCGUAUGGGGCUUUGUCACCCGCUCUGUAGGCCCGGCCGGCGCCAGCCGACAACCCAUCAUCCUUUUCAGGUUGACCUCGGAUCAGGUAGGGAUACCCGCUGAACUUAAGCAUAUCAAUAAGCGGAGGA